CCGCAACACGUCCGAGAGAUAUUCGAGGAAUCUGUUCGAGGGUCAGAAUCUGCGUGAAGGCUUGCUGCUUUCCGCGAGAAGAGACAGCCUCACUGGGUCAAACCAAAUCUAUGAACAACAACAGACCAAACCUUGUGUUCGCUCGCCGUUGACCUCGCCGUUGACAGCUUAAAUCUGUUACUGGGUACUUAUUUCUCUCUUUUUCGCAAUUUCUCCCCCUGGGAUCCCGUAAUAUAUAUACAUCUUUAUAGCAAAGCCGCAAUGAUCCAGAAAUGUCCCAUAUUUUUUGUCAACUACUCCCAAAUGUUAUAUUGACAACUCGGUACGUAUUGCCGAGAUAAUAUACUAGU
rnacentral:sRNA from 1 species